rnacentral:rRNA from 1 species
GCAUAUCCCAUAAGCGGAGGAAAAGAAACUAACAAGGAUUCCCCUAGUAACUGCGAGUGAAGCGGGAAAAGCUCAAAUUUAAAAUCUGGCGGCUUUGGUCGUCCGAGUUGUAUUCUAGAGAAGUGUUUUCCGCGUUGGACCGUGUAUAAGUCUCUUGGAAUAGAGCGUCAUAGAGGGUGAGAAUCCCGUCUUUGACACGGACUACCAAUGCUUUGUGAUACACUCUCAAAGAGUCGAGUUGUUUGGGAAUGCAGCUCAAAAUGGGUGGUAAAUUCCAUCUAAAGCUAAAUAUUGGCGAGAGACCGAUAGCGAACAAGUACCGUGAGGGAAAGAUGAAAAGCACUUUGGAAAGAGAGUUAAACAGUACGUGAAAUUGCUGAAAGGGAAACGCUUGAAGUCAGUCGCGUUAGCUAGAACUCAACCAGGCUUGCUUGGCGUAUUUUCUAGUUAACGGGCCAGCAUCAGUUUUGACCGCAGGAAAAGGGCCAGAGAAAUGUGGCAUCUUCGGAUGUGUUAUAGUCUCUGGUCGUAUACUGUGAUUGGGACUGAGGACCGCAGCACGCGCAAGCUGUGCUUAGGAUGCGGCGUAAGGCUU